AUGGUUUUAUGGAUUAUUCCAAGUUUGAAAGCAAUGGAUUGUUUCAAAGUCCAUUUAAAACUAUUGCGCUUUCAUAUGUUGAUUCGUUUAUACAAAAGUGAAGAAAAGCUUGAGAUUCAAUUUCAAAUAGGACAAAGUGGAGAGAAAGGUGAAUUUCAAAUCAUUUUGAGACAAGGCAUGUUCCAUUACAUAUUCAAGAGUUCAAUACACAAGGCCUUUUCAAAUUCAAAAGCCAAAAGUACAUUACAAAUUCAAAAUAGGAAAUACAUGGGAAAGAUGUACACUUUUGACUAUGAACAAUUGACCAAGACUUCUACAAAUCCUCCCUAA